GUGGUGUCACAAAAUCGGAGGCCACGACUGUUUACUAAAAACACAAUUCAGAGCAAUGAUGAAAAUCAUAGUAUUCUGGAUGAAAUUUGCCCGAUGCCAUUAACAUAAAAGAGGUAAUGGGAAACUGUUACUAAUUGAAAGUCUGGUUAAUAGCGGUCUUAACUAUGAGGAUCCUAAGGUAGCAAAAUCAGUUGGCCAUUAAAUGUGGUCUGGUAUCAAUAGUGUAACGAUGGUCUCACUGUCUCUACAACUUGCUCAGUGAAAUUGAAUUAUCCGUGCAGAUGCGGAUUGCCUCCAGGUGGA
rnacentral:rRNA from 1 species